AUGUAUUAGUUUAAGUUAUAAAUGAUGAGGUGCUUUAACUAAGGAGAUCAUUAACGUUAUAUUAAUAUUAAUUAAUGCAUGAUAUUACUUAAUAGAGACACAAAUUUGCUCAGUCUGCUGUGAACAUUUGUUUAGCCAAUUUUCUUGCCAUCUUUUCAAAUUUGUGAUUAGUUGGUAGUGAAUUUUAGCUUAAAUGUUAGAAAUGCAGGGUACCCAUCUUUUGUAUUUUCCAAAAGAAUGUCAUUGGUGUGGUUAGAGAUCAGAACAGCAGGAUUUUCUGUCCAUAUUAUGUAGGAGUGGUUGGUAUAGUUUUGGUGUGCUGUUGGGCUCUUGGUUCUGUUUAUCAAUUAAGGGGUAAUAUUUUUUAUCGCACCCUUUUUGAAGUCCUAUGUACUGGCCUUAGACAAAUAUUUUGCGGUGCACUUGAAAUAGAGUUACAGUAUUUGAAUACGAGAAUAAUUCAGAAUGGAAGAAGAUACACAGGAAAUAUGAUCUUUGGCCUUGACUCCAACAUGGUCUUGCUACUGUUUUGACAAUUUUUGUUGCUGUUUCUCUGCCUGUGGAGUUCUCUAUCCAUCGAUUCAUGAACCCAAAAUUUAUCUAUAUGUGGACCAUGUCGUGUACG